rnacentral:rRNA from 1 species
UCCUACGGGAGGCAGCAGUGGGGAAUAUUGGACAAUGGACCAAGAGUCUGAUCCAGCAAUUCUGUGUGCACGAUGAAGUUUUUCGGAAUGUAAAGUGCUUUCAGUUGGGAAGAAGAAAGUGACGGUACCAACAGAAGAAGCGACGGCUAAAUACGUGCCAGCAGCCGCGGUAAUACGUAUGUCGCAAGCGUUAUCCGGAUUUAUUGGGCGUAAAGCGCGUCUAGGUGGUUGCAUAAGUCUGAUGUGAAAAUGCGGGGCUCAACUCCGUAUUGCGUUGGAAACUGUGCGACUAGAGUACUGGAGAGGUAAGCGGAACUACAAGUGUAGAGGUGAAAUUCGUAGAUAUUUGUAGGAAUGCCGAUGGGGAAGCCAGCUUACUGGACAGAUACUGACGCUAAAGCGCGAAAGCGUGGGUAGCAAACAGGAUUAGAUACCCUGGUAGUCC